CUUGUACCCAUUUCACGCCACACAAUAAUGGCAGUUAAAGGUUUCAGUAGAGAAGAUUCGGGACUGGAAGAGUAUUUUUCAAAAGAGUUAUAAAAUAUAGAAUGUAAUACAACUUACAUAAAAGUUGGAGAAUGUUUGGGAGCAAACUAAGGUCUUGGAUGGAGGCUGUGCGGUCCAGGAAAAAGCAACACAGGAAGGAAAAACAGGGGAAAAGCAAUGCUGCGUCCUUAGGGCAAAAAAAUAAUGUUAAAUGGGAUACAAACUGUGCGACUGUGAUUGACGGCUACAAGGAGAAUGAGCGGGAAGUCAUUAAGAGCCAUUUAUUAAAAGAAAAUCAAAGCCAAUCAGGAUCAUCAGGUGUUUCCAAUUCCCGAUAUUCGGCUAAUAACUUAUCAUCGCCUGAGUCUGCUUAUUCCACUGGGUACUCCACCGAUGGUACUUCACCUGGAGCGCCGCCAGAUAAUUUGCUGAAUACAACCAAAGCACCAGAUAUCUGUCAUCCCCGCAUUGCUGUAUUGAAUCCAAUUCAAAACCCCAGUGCUGCAAAUGUUAAGAACCCUGUACAGCUUCCAAACUCAUCUAAAGCUUUGCCAAAUCAUCUCAAAGAUCAUCGAACCCCCAUUUUUAAGAAAAGAGAACUCGACGAAUCCAAGUUUGCAGCUCCGAGCAGAGUCAAUGAGAAGAUCGUCGGGAACCUGAGUCCAGCUCUUGGGAUCACGUCACCCAGACAGCGCAAUAGGAUAAGGACGAAUCCAUGGUUACCUGGAGCUACACUCAGCCCAAGUCCCGUCAAGCAUGGCCUUAACAAGGGCAAAGCUGCAGCUAAAUCCAGUAAAGAUAGCCCGAAACUUCGUAGAUUUCUCAGUCCAGCGCUUAGUAGAAAGCAGUCUUUAUCGACUUCAUCCAGUUCUUCCUUGAGUGCCACUAGUAUCCAGCUGGAAGUGCCAAGACCUAAAUCAGUAAGUGACGAAGAUUGUACUCUCAAUGAGAUGAUGGGUAAAUAUGAUGAAAGCUAUGUUUAUGAGAAGGAGACUGACAUAUUAAGUGACAGCGAUCCAACUGAUUGUGAGACUGACAUAGAUACAGGACAGGAUGGGGGUGAUGAAGAUGAGCCUUUCGAAACAGAGUUAGAUUUUAUAGACAAUGGCUCAUUCUUGGACUUUGAAGCGAACAGAGCAGACCUAAAUACGGGGCACUGUUCUUAUUAUACCUACGAUGUUCAGAGAAAGAGGUCCUCCAGACGAAGGACACAACGUAGGAAUACUAAAUCGAGUGAAAAGAAAAGGAAGUCUUGCUCGAAUAAAAAGAAGCAAUCCAAACAAGUUGAUAGAGAAAAACGUAUUAAUCCUUACAUAGAUGGCUCUAAAAGUGCUGGAGCUACCCCUGUUUCCGUCCGUCGUGCCAAUUGUAGGCCAAUUUCCAAGUUGGCAUUAGAUGAUUGUUUGAGAAAACGGUCUAAUUCAGUCGGUUUCUCCAAUGACCCCAUUAACAAUAUAGAUAAAAGGGAUAAAGAAGCCGACCUAAAGUAUAGAGAACUUAUUAGUGAAGCCGAACAUAUUCUACGCGCUAUGAAGACAAAUGGCCUAUCGCCAAGAAGAGUACCAGGUCCUGCUAAUAAAAGGGUGGAACUUUUAAGAAUAGCUGAAUGUGCAAAACCUGAAGUUUUUGUUAAGAACAGACCACCUGAAGAUACUGUCAUUAGCAACCCGUUUUGUUCGAAAAUUCCGUCCAAUAGUGGCUAUAGUUGUCCACGAUUUAGCCCUAAGAAGAAUCAUAUCACUAAAUUUAUAAUCAGUAACUCUCCGGUACUGGCAAGAAAGGAAUGGGAAAUGCAAGCUCAGAUAUACAAAUCUCCAAUGUCUUGUAGGAAAUUGCCGGAAGAUCCUCACACUCCUCAACAUGUGUCUUUAAAAGACAGGCAUAGUGAGGCUGUUAGAAGUCCAAAAUAUAGAAAAAAGCUGACCAAGAGGGUUCCAGAUUCUAGCUCGGACUCAGAUGAAGAUUUAAGAAGAAGCUUCUUAAGAGUUGGCAGUUGCCCUCAAAGUGAACCAGUAAGAAGGAAAGUAUAUAACCAAAAUGGAGGAAAGACAGUAGCUUUUAAUUUAUCUAACGAAGGAUCGACAAGGCAAGAAUGCACCAGCAGUAGCGAUAACUUAAGACAACAAGUUCUUUUGAACACUAUUGUUAAUUUGAAAAAGAAUUUAGAAGAUCAUUCGGCUUCACUAAAACAAGUUUAUAGAAGUUCCAAUAACAUUUACUCAUAAGAUUGAGAAAGGCACUGUGCAAUCAUAUAUUUUAUACUCAUAUUCCCGAUAAGAAGCCGAUAAUAUAAUGAAGCGUGGAUUAUAAUGAAUGCUGUUAUCUACAUACAGAAACCUGUGCUUACCAGUACCUACAUUUAUAUUAAGGUUAUUUUUGAGAAAGUUUCAGGAUGCAUCCUAAUGUCGGUUACAUGACAUCUCGUAAUGCGACAGUUCUUAACCCGACAAAUGGUGACGGACACUUCGUAACGCCAUAAGUUCGUAAUGGACAAUUCGUAACGCCAUAAGUUCGUAACGGACAAUUCGUAACGGCAACAUUUGAGUUUUUUAGCAAAUUUAGUAUUACUGAAUUUAUACCGAAACGCGUUUUGCGUAUAUUCCUAUAUUAAAAGUAAUGGUACUUUUUUUAAGACCACAUCUUUUUAAAUAUAUUUCACACAUAAUUGCGUAUAUUCUUAUUUGUAUAACUAAAUAAUUUUUUAAAAGUUUUUACCUUGAAUUAUGACUUUAAAGUAGUAAAACUAGGCCGUCCGCACUCGAGUUGACGCUCGAUGUAGUCGACUCGAUUCCAGUCGCGUAGAUCUCUCCCCGUCACUCAAGUUUCUUCGUUGUGGCGUUGAGCUCCAGAGGCGGGGCGUUUAAGAUUGCAUAUCUCCUCAUCUAGUACGACUCUCGUUCCUUGCGAUCGGUAGCGCACGAGAAAAUUCGAGUUAGACGCUCGUUUCCAGUCAUUAUUUUAUUUGUUUCCUUCGUUUUUUGUUGAUUUUUGUGCUAAACUAAAUCAUAGUUUUUUUUUAAAGAUCGGUGAAUGUUAUGUUUGUUGAUUGUAGUACUAUUAGCUUUGUGGCAAUAUAUUGUUUGUAAUAUAAAAUUUUGAAAACAUUGAAAUUCUGUUUCUAGGUGUUUGUUAUCAAAUUAGUUGGGGAAGUAGAAAAAUACCCUCAAUUGUAUAAUGCUCAUUUUAUACAAAAUAUACGAAACAUGUAACACUACCGUAAUUUUGACAGAUCGAAAUAGUCGUUUUGGUUGAUAUAUAAAAAAUGCAUUCUUCCUGGGUGGAAGAUGUGAGCAAACUGAAUCGACUAGUGUGCGGAGAGCAAUCGCUUGUGGCGCAGGGUUCGUACAAGACGAGCAAGACGCGCGAACUUCGAGACGUGUCUUCGAUCGACCCAUGUGCGGACGGCCUAAGUCUGAAUAGUAAUGAAACAUAUAAAAACGGUUUUAAUAAUACUGUAUUUAUUAUCAAAAUUAAUACAAUUUACAUUACUAGAUUAUAUUUAUUUUAAGACAUAACUUUAAAUAUUUUCCCCAAGAAAUAUGAAAUGUGUUAAAAUGUUUAUUCUGAUGCUAGUUGUUAAAAUUGAUAAACGAAAUUUCAACUGUAACUGUAAUAAAAGUUAGAUUCCACGUUAACAAAAAUAAACAGAAUAAUUCAAUUUUGACUUUACAAAUUAUAGCAUUUGUUACGGUAUGGCGUUACGAAUUUUCCGUUACGAUUUGUGGCGUUACGAACUGUGGCGUUACGAGAUGUCUUGUCAAGCCUAAUGUCGCUGCUUUUUAUAACGCCUUUACUUAUAAAGUAAAAUAUUCAGGGUAACAAAACUACAAAUCGAAUAAAGAACGUAACUUAUUAAGCAACUUUGCUUUUUUGAUCAGUAGACUACGAGAUACAAAAACAAAGAAUUCAACUAAAAUAUCUUUUAAUAUUACUUUCAUCUUUCAAAUAAAACUGACAUAUUUCAGAGGAGUAUGCUAAACAAAAUGGGGAUGCAGAACAGCUUUAUAACAGCCUAUACGAGUAUGGGCUUAUACAUAUAUAUGUAUUUCCCAUUUUUUAAAAAAACUGGUUUUUAGGGGUUUUUGAGGAUGUUCCCCAUUUUAUAUACUUCAAAAUAGAUCACAUCAAGACAUUUUAUAGGUAAUAUAUAAUUUGAAGUAAUUAAUUUCUUUAGUUCAUCAUAUAUCAUACAUCUCCAAGUGGAGCAAAGGGCACCUUGCGGUGUUUCAAGUAGCAUGAGGAAUGAUGGUGAGGUUGCUAGUCCCACGCAUCAUCUGUUGAGUUCCGUCCAAUUUUGUUUACUAGUUUUCUCCAUUCUCUUCUGUUUUUUGCUAUCUUUUUUGCAUCGUUCCAUGUUAAAUUAUUUUCUUUGAGUUCUUUCUCUAUUGUUCUUUUCCACGUAUAAGAUGGUCUACCCAUUCUUCUUUUGCCUUGAGCAUGGUAAUGUAGAGCUUGUCUAGCAAUAUUUGUUGCUGGUUUUCGUAAGGUGUGUCCUAUCCACUUCCAUUUCCGUUUUUUUAUUGUAUGUUCUAUCCUUUCUUCAUUUGUUAUUCUCCACAAUUCGUCAUUAGUAAUUUUGUUUGGCCAAAAUAUUCUCAGUAUAAUACGUAGGCACCUGUUAAUGAAGGAUUUUAUUUUCUGAAAGAAUUUUUUAUGGUGUUUCCAUGUUUCUGCUCCAUAUAACAGGAAAGACUUUACAUUAGUUUCAAAUAAUCGUAACUUUGUUCUUCUGCUGAUGUUUGUCGAGGCCCAUAUCUUGCGCAAAGAGUUGAAAGCGUUUUGUGCGAAGCUUAUUCUUUGUGUUAUGUCCUUUUCUGUGCCUCCUGUUGUGUUUAGCAGACUGCCCAAAUAACAGAAAUCGUUUACUUCUUCUAUUUGUUUCCCUUCCAAAUAUAUAUUGUUUCCGUUCGAUUCCCCAUUUGAUAGUAUUUUCGUUUUUUUCGGAUUUAUUUUUAAGCCGGUUGUUUUUGCUAUGCUGUUCAAUCUGGUGAUUUUGUUUUGCAUGUGUUGUCUGUUUGAUGUUAUGAGACAUAUGUCGUCAGCGAACUCUAGAUCCUCUAGUUUUGUAAAUGGUGACCAUUGUAUACCUGUUUUUUUAUCUUCAGUUUGUUUCAUUAUCCAAUCUAUGACUAUUAUAAACAAUGUCGGUGACAAGACACAGCCCUGUCUUACUCCUUUUUUGAUGCUUAUUUGUUGGAAUAGUUCCCCUUCAUGUUCAACUCUGCCAAAACAUUCGUCGUAGAAAAGCUUUAUUACUCUUAUAUAUUUGUCUGGUAUUCCAUAGAGUUUUAAUAUCCUCCACAUCAUAUUACGAUUUAUUGAAUCAAACGCUUUUUCGAAGUCUACAAAGUUGAUAUAAACUUCCUGAUUCAUUUCUGCUGAUUGUUCCAGGAUGAUUAUUAGGGUAUUUAUAUGGUCAAUACAGGAACUGUUCGGUCUGAAUCCUAUUUGGUUAAUUCUUAAUUUUUCAUUUAUGGGAUCUUUAAUUCUCUCCAAUAUUAUUCUGGCCAUUAUUUUGGUAGCUACAGUGAGAAGAGUGAUUGGUUUCCAGUUUUCGCAUAGUGUGAGAUUUCCUUUCUUUGGUAGCUUUAUUAUAACUCCUUCACCCCAAUCUUUUGGUAUCUUUUCCUCGAUCCAAAUUUUUUUAAAUAGUAAGUAGUACAUAUCCACUGAGAAGUUUAAGUGUGAUUUUAUCAAUUCUGCGGGAAUUCCAUCAACACCACCCGCUUUGUCGUUUUUAAAAGGUUUAUAGCAUACCUUAUUUCGUCCUUCGUAAAUUCGUCGUUUCUUAUGAUUAAUGUUUCGUUUCUCUCAGUUUCUUCCAUCUCUAUUUGUGAUUCAAUUCCUUCUUCAUAGAGUUCUGCGAAGAAUUGUGUCCAUCUUUGGGCAAUUUCUUUUUGACUUGUGAGUGUUUCUCCUUCUUUCCCCAUUAGUUUCGUUCUUUGCUGGCUCUUGCCCCCUUUAAUUUGUUUGGUUAUUGCGUAAAGUGUCCUUGUGUCAUGCAUUAUCGCUGCUUCCUCUGCUUUUUCUGCCAUUUGUUCCAUAUACAGCCUUUUAUCUGUUCUGGCUUGUUUUUUAACUUCUUUAUUUUUUUCUGUGUAUUUUUCCUGCAUUUCUUUUUGUUUUAUCGGGUUUGUUGUUUUGAUCAAUUCAGUUUUGAUUGCUCUUCUUUCCUUGAUUUUUGUUUUAGUGUCCAGCGUUAUCCAUGGUCGAUCAGCUUUCUCCUUGCACCCUAAUAUCUCUUUCCCUGCCUCCAUGUACGCGUUUUUAUAUAUUUCCCAUAUACCUUCAAUGCUAGAUUUUCCUACUUGUUUCAAGUUCCCCACAUGCUUCUCCAACGUUUCUUAAUUUAUUUGUAUUGAAUUUUCUAUGUUUUUUGUUUGAUUUAUAAUUUGCCUUGAGGCUAAUUUUUAUUUUUGCUCUCACUAAUUCGUGGUCUGAUGCACAGUCGGCUCCUCUCAUUGCUCUCACAUCUUGUAAGGAAUUUUUCCACUUCUUUUCAAUGAGAAUGUGGUCAAUUUGGUUUUUAAAUUUUCCUCCUGGUGACGUCCAUGUUGUUUUAUGGAUAUCUUUAUGUUGGAAUAAUGUUCCCCCAAUCAUCAUAUCGUUUGUCGAGCAAAGUUCUAUUAAUCUCGUGCCAUUGUCAUUCCUUUCUCCCAUGCCAUGAAUCCCCAUUACAUGUUCAUUUCCAUUAUUAUUAGAUCCUACUUUGGCGUUCCAAUCCCCCAAAACGAUUUUUAUAUCCCGUUUAUAUGUUUUUUGUAUUUUUGCUAGCAACAUAUACAUCUGGUCGUAGAACUCUUCCUUUGUUUCAUCUUCUUGUUGAUUUGUUGGAGCAUACACAUUAAUUAUUAUUAAGUUUCUGCUUUGAAAUCUUCCCCAUAUAAUUCUCUCAGAGACAUUCUCCCACUCCACCAAUGCUUGGGCCGAUGCUUUAUUUAACAUUAAUGCCACCCCUUUUUCUUUGUCUGAGUUUAUAUCUUUGCCAGAAUAGAUGACAGUAGUUCCACACUGUAAUUGGAUUCGUCCUGACCCAUUCCAUCUAGUUUCACUGAUCCCUAGUAUGCUUAUGUUGUAUCUACCCAUUUCUGUUGCUAUCUGAUGUGCUUUACUUAUUUCCGCCAUUGUUCGUACAUUCCAUCAACCUAUAAAUAUGUUUUCCCUUGUAUCAAUUUCUCCUUCUAUUGAUUUCCAAGUUUUGUUUCUAUUUCUUUUUUUCUUGCUAUUUACCCUAUUUCUCCCCACCUUGUCUGUUUGCAAAACCAUACUCAUAUCCAUUUCGCGCGAUGUUGUCUCCGUAUGUUGUUAAUUCCGUUAGUUAAACACCUUUAAACCCACUAAAUACCAGAUUUUUCAAAGUUUAUAAGGGUUUUUGCGGGGUUAAUCACAUUUUUUGAAAAUUAAUAUAACCUGAAUCAAGGCGUCUCCAAUUCAAAUUCCAAAAAUAUGAAAAAUAAUAGUUUCAGAUCUCAAAGAAGCAAAUACAACCAGGUUUCAAUGGUUAUUUGGGGGUUUUACUGGAUUUACCCAACUUUUUUUUACGUUUCAUUAAAUAGCGUUUUCAAAAAUAUAGUAUGCGGCAAAAUAAACAUUGCUGAAAUGAAUAUUGAGAUGUUAACGAUUAUUUAUAUAUUUAGUAUACAUGAUAUAGCCUUGCAAACAUUAUUCACGACGACGUUCCCCAUAAAACAUGUUAAAAAUGCACGAAAAAAUCUUUAAUUCUAGCCCGCAAUUCCGGAAUGUCAACCGGUCGAUCGGUCUACCUCUUUCAGCUUUCCCCAUAAUAAUAUAUAGAUACGCAUCAGGUCGCGUUAGGUCUGGUGAGUGGCGAUAUCCCAGAAUGAUCGAGCAGUAUUCGAAGAGACUCCUGAGAACUUUCUUGAAGCACCUAAUGUUAACACGACAUUCAUAUACGUCAUAACGACGUUCGUAAACCACUCGGUGCGUGUCGGCGCAUGAAAUAUAUAAAUUGAAGGCAUAUGCAUUUGAGUACUGUUUAUUUUGCCGCAUACCGUAUUAUAAAAUAACAGUAGACGAUGUAUUUCCCAUAGAAGCUAGAUAUUUCUUGAAACAUGCGAAAACCCCUGUUUUCUUUGAAAUGCUCGGUUUAAUAGUGUUUAAAGGUGAUAAAAGAGGAAAAAUUCAGCAAAAACUUUCAAAAAACAUUUGAAAACCGUGUUUUUCGUAUAAGAUGAGAUUGCAUAUUAUUUUUCUAUAGCUGCAAAAUACAUCAUCUCAUGUUUUCCAAGAACAUACUUUGAAAGGUGCCAUUUAUUGGCGCCUAACGGCCAAAAAUUAGAAUAAUCCAACAAAAACACCGAAAAAUACUUGAAAAUCGUGUUUUUCGUAUGUUUUAAAAAAUAUCUAGCUUCCCGGAAUAUGAGAAUUAAUCCUCUCAUGAUAUUUUAUAAGAUUUUUAAAAACAUGUUUUUUAAUGAUGUAAGAAAAGUAAAAAAGUUGGGUAAACCCAGUAAAAACCACAGGAUAACCCUUGAAAAACUGAUUUUUUUGCAUAAACAAUGAUCCGAUAAACAAUGUAUCGAUCUAAAAAGAAUAUGAAUAACGGCAAAAACUCACAAAAAUCUUUAAAAACCUUGAAAAACAUGGUUUUUUGGGAGUUUAUAGACGUUUAGUCCAAUUUUUGAAUAUCCUAAAGGAAUCCAUUACUUCAUAUUAUAUAAUCAUAAAAAAACAUUGAUUAAUUUGACAUAUUUUGAACUCUAUAAAAUAUGAAAAAUCCCCAAAACACUUAAAAAGCCCAGUUUUUCGGUUUUUUGAACGUGGCGUACCUUACGGAAAAUCUGGACAAUUCAGAGAUAUAUUUUCUAUAAAAUAUAUUUUUCCUCAUUUUCCCUCCCCGUAGAUCCGCCACUGGCCAGAGGGCAUCUCUAACAUCUGUUUUAUCCGGAAUGUGCGUCGUCGUGAAUAAUGUUUGCAAGGCUAUAUCAUGUAUACUAGAUAAUAUGUAUAUAAAUCAUCAUAAACAUUUUAAUAUUCAUUUCAGUACUGUUUAGUAUGUAUUCAGUACAGUAUUGUACUUGUGUCAGUUCGGUAGUAAAUUCUCUCUAUUCAGCCCUCUGUUCAAGAUUUUAUGUAUCAUAUGGAAUCAUGUCUCUCAUAUAAAUUUAAUUAGUUAGUUUGGUAUUCAUCCAGGAUUUUUUCUAAGAAAAAAGCGACCAUAUUCUUGCAGACUGUUCUAUAAAAUCUUAUAUUGGUACUACCCACAGGGAAAUAAAAGCAGCGCAUUGCUGAUCAGCUAGCUAGGAAUAGGAAGGCAGUAGGCCUAAGACUCUUAGGACUUGAUCUUUUUUCUGGUCAACUACAACAAUCUCGGAAAUUGCCAAAUGUCACUCCCACACGCAAACCGUGAAAAGUUGGGAAGAAGGACCAGGAUGUAGACUUGCCAAGGUAACACUAAGGAACCUUGGGAAGCCAGCAUCAGAAAAGUACUUGAGAAUGACCAGGAAAAGCCUACGCUUGACAGUUGAUUUUUUAACUGGCCAUUGUCAACUAAGCGAACACCUCCACACACUGGAGCUAGUAGACACACCUCUGUACAGAAAGUGUGAACGAGUUAACGAAACUGUUGAGCUUGUCCUAUGUGAAUGUCCGGAGUUAUUGGCAAUACAAGAGUAUGCGUUCGGCGAGCAUUAGUCUACACCUGCCGAUAUAGGGGAGAUGCACCCUGGUGAUUUGCCCCCUUCCUGGAAAUGACAGGAUGGACAAUGAGCUAAGGACAGCCUGAGAAUAUGCACAAUGGGUCAAUACGACCAAAGAUAUGGAAUACGACCUCUAUGGAUCCCAGAAAAAGGUGUGGAAGAUGAUAAGGAGACAAAAAUCAGAAAUGAAUGAAUUUGUACGGAUAGAUAACAUUACGGAGACACAAUGGACUGAGCAUUUCACGAAAUUAUAUGGAGGAGGAGAAGAAGAGAACAGAGAAAUAAACAUUAAUGAAACAGUGCUUUUGACAGGGUGAGGCGAAAUGAUAUCUUAAAUUUAUUACAAGCUGAACAAAUAGACCACCAGAUAAUAAGGCUAAUUAAUGAAAUUAACAAGAACAACCAGAGUUAUAAUGUCAACAGGAGAAACAGAACGCAUAGAACUGAAAGGAGGAAUCCGCCAAGGAGUCUCGCUCAGUCCAUUGUUAUUCAAUAUGGUGAUGAAUCAAAUAAUUCACGAAUUAAGAAAACGACAUGGAUACCACAUGGGAGUGCAUAAAAUCACGAUACUAUGCUAUGCCGAUGAUGCAGUACUAAUUGCUGAUAAAGAGGAAGACCUACACCACACUUUCAAUAUCACAGCAAAUAAACUUAAUAUGAGAAUAUCAGUAAAAAAAACUAAAUGUAUAGUGUUAGAAAUAAGCUACUAUAGUGUAAGCGACAGAAUUGAGAUUAUGCAGGAGAUGAAAAAAACAUAUUGACAAGCUAUUUAUGAACAUACGGAUACCAACAUUGUGGUACGAAAAACUCAGGGAAGGCAAAAUGUUUUUAGCCAGAUUGAAAGAUGUUCGUAUUGGUCUUUGGAUAUACAAUAAUAUUGCAUUAAAACCUCACUUUGACCCAAUAUGUCGCUUACAACAUUGUUGUAGCCCACCAUUCAAUUGUGGCCUAAGUGCUGUGAGACUUGACUCGCCCUUCCUACUCUACAGAGAUACAGAUACCCACAAGUUCCUGUUUAGCACUCCUUUUUAGGUUUGGCACUAAAUAUUGAGCAAUUAAGAAAAUAGUGAUAUUGAAAGAUGUUUUAAAUAGUUUUUAAGAUGUUAAAUUAAAAUGUCUACUGAUAGUAUAUGCCUAAAUAUAAAUAAGAUAAUGUUGACUAACCCAUCUUUUGUACAUCUAUUCUUCCACGAAUAUUAUUUAUAUAAGUCUCUACGAAUUCUUCCAUAAAACUGUCCAGAAAAUGACAUUUUAAAUGUCAAUAAAACGUUAAGUUGUCUAAGUAUCUUUCCAGUCUUCCCAACGAAAUAUUUUUUUGAAAGAUUUUAAGGACAAUAAAUAAAUUUUCACUUUCAUAACGUUUUGUUAGAAAAUUUCAGCUGAAGUUAAAGCGUUGAGAUAUAAAACCCUGUAAGUAAUGUAUAUUAAACUGGCCUAUUUUUGAUGAAAUAAAGAUGAAAAGAGUGUAAAUUAAUCAAGCAUUAAAUAUUUUCUGAAAAACAUCAGGACAGCACACUGAGCUUACUAAUUCAUGUUGUGAUCUACAUAGAUAUUUCAUUGUUAAAUUUUUACAUUGUUUACUCCGUAAGUACAAUAAACUGAUAUACAUAACUA